GAUGAACGCUGGCGGCGUGCCUAAUACAUGCAAGUCGAGCGAACAGACGAGGAGCUUGCUCCUCUGACGUUAGCGGCGGACGGGUGAGUAACACGUGGAUAACCUACCUAUAAGACUGGGAUAACUUCGGGAAACCGGAGCUAAUACCGGAUAAUAUAUUGAACCGCAUGGUUCAAUAGUGAAAGACGGUUUUGCUGUCACUUAUAGAUGGAUCCGCGCCGCAUUAGCUAGUUGGUACGGUAACGGCUUACCAAGGCAACGAUGCGUAGCCGACCUGAGAGGGUGAUAGGCCACACUGGAACUGAGACACGGUCCAGACUCCUACGGGAGGCAGCAGUAGGGAAUCUUCCGCAAUGGGCGAAAGCUUGACGGAGCAACGCCGCGUGAGUGAUGAAGGUCUUCGGAGCGUAAAAAUCUGUUAUUAGGGAAGAACAAAUGUGUAAGUAACUAUGCACGUCUUGAUGGUACCUAAUCAGAAAGCCACGGCUAACUACGUG
rnacentral:rRNA from 1 species